UCUGUGAUUCAGGGAUUCUGUGCUAUGGGGUCAACACAGCUUGCCCUGAGCUGGAUUCAAGCCAACACAACCUUGGACCACACACCAAAGGCAGAAGAUGAGGAGAUGAGAGGAAACCUUCAGAUCUCCAGCCACAUGUGCAGUGCCCCAAGAAAAAUCCUUCCUCUGUCUUGGCUUGGAAUUCACAAAACCUCUGGAAAUCCUCUGGGCACCAAAAUGCAAGUGAGUUUCUACCCCAAAUGUGAUGUUUCCAUGCAAGCCAAGUAAAAGAACUUCUGUGGGCCUGGGGAAAGGUUGCAGCAGCUUGAGCUGAGCAUGGGAAGUGGCUGCAGAAGAAAUGGUGAGGCUGUCAGCAGCAGACUCGUGACAGAUUGUUCCUUGAGUCUUCCUGCAUCCACUGCCAUGGUGACCCUGGAAUCUCUGCUGCCACUGGCAGUGGCUGGGCUGAGUUUUCCCUUCUACUGUGCCAGCUCUUUGGGCUGGUGACCUUUCUGGAAGGAGGGAACUUGUUGUAGUGGAUGAGCAGAGACAGGCACUGGGGGGUGUGAAGAAACACAGAAAUGUUUCAGCAUCCAUUCCUAUCCCUUGCCCAAGUAAGAAAUGAAGCUGUGGAGAAAAGAGAUAAAGAACACACCUUUGGAAGUGAGGAGAAGAACGUUAAUUGGCUGUACAGCAGAGUCUGAGCAAUACGAAAAACCAGGAAAGACUAAUUUAUGAGUACAGAUUCUUUCUGGAGAGUAUGACUUAAACUUGGGGAGAAAAUCCAUGUGCCUGGAAUAUUAAAAUCAAUAGUUUUAACCUAUUUAGGAAGAACUGAGUGGGCAAAAAAGGCAUAGGAGGGAUAAUAUCAGAAAUGACAUUGCUACCUUCCAAAAACCAUUAGAGACUGAAGAGAAAGUGACCUCAAAUAUAAAUAAAAACAAAAAGAAGGCAUUUCUCCAGACCAUCAACUCUCACUACAAAACAGAGAUUACUCACUUCUUAGUCACACAUCUGUAACAUUUAAGAAAAUUUCCCUGCUCUGUUCUGGGGAAGUUCAACUCAAAUGAUGUGAGCUGGACAGUUCGCAGUGCUGGUUUGGGGAUUUUCUAAAUGUCCUAGAAGAGUGUUUCUUAACCAAAACCAGAAGUUCCUCGACAGGAUCAUCCUGAUAGCUGCAGGACUGGUUAGAGACACAAAAACUGGUUACAGACAGCACAGAGGUGACCCUGUUUCAAUCAUGUGUGCUGGGCACAGACAGGAAAGCCAGAGCUGACAGUGGCUCCCUGUGCUUUUCAGUGCUGUGAGCCUGGAGGAUUUUAAACAGAAAAUGAAGCUAAAACAAAGUAAAAUCAACACGGCCCGUGCUAAACGGAUGAGAACCCUGGUGAUAGGUUUAGACAUACCCGAGGAGCCUCCCAAGCGGCCGCCUUUCUGUUCAUCACUUUUAGCAAACGCUAGAAAAUCAAAACUCAUUACAGUCAAAGUUUGCUGAUGAGAUUUGGAGCUGGACCACGGCUGCAGUGUGGAUGGGUCUCUGCCUCAGACCUGCGCUGUUCCUCAACCAGGGGGAAGUGAGUGAGCUCCAGCUGCUUUAACACAAAGCCACACUCCCAGGAACCAGGAUUUCACCGCAGGGAGGAGGGAUCCUCUUACACAGCGCUGGAAUCCUGAUAAAACAAUGGAGUGAAAUAUCUCUGGAGGAACACCUAAUGGGACACUGCAGCUAUUUCUGGUGCCUGUGACUCCGGAAGGAUGGUGAUGAACGGGAGAGGGCACACGGGAAUGACUGAGGCGUCACAAAACAUGCCUUAUAGUGACAGACUCAAGGACCCCAAUGUGCUUAGCUUAACAAAGGGAAGGUUAAGAGAUGGCUUAAUGACAAUCCAGAUGUAUUCAGACAGGGUACAGGGAUGCAGAAAGGGAGAGCCCUUCAAUCUAACAGACAGAGCGAUAAAAAGAGCUGGUGACUGGAAGCUGACGCUGUUAAAUUCCAUCUGGGAAGGGUGUUUGGAGAGAAAUAACACCAGAACAACUUCCCUACAGAUGGUUUCAUCAUCAUUGGCCAUUUCUAACUCAUGCAGGCUUUUUUUCUUUUGGUUUUUUUAAGCCAUAAUCUUGAUCCACCAAAGAUCACUGUGAAUCGACACAGGCACCCUCACUGCACAAAUGGGAUGGGUCUUUUUUGGGUUUUAAUCUUCUUAAUAAUAAUAAUGAGUAUUUAAGCCAUCAUCCUCAAGUACUGAGUGGAAUCAUUCCCUUUUCCCAGAGUUAUUGUUCUGGCCUUGGUGGGCACUCACACAGACACCUCAGUGUUAUUGGUACUUCAUCUUUGCCAGUAGAGAGGCUGGAAAAGUCCUCUAAAACCCCAUAAAACAAACCUGGCCUACAUCCCCCUGCUAUAAAAAAAAAAGAAUCCAAAGUACAGUGCCAAAGAGAGCAGCUCAAAGCUCAAAGUACAUGAAGAACUUGAAUUCCAGUGGUUCAGUAAAAUCCUGCUGCUCCCUGUCUGCUGCCAGAGCUUGAUGGACUUUUCAGGGGAAUGACACAUCCGUGUUCCUUAAGAGUUGCUAAAAUUGUGAGUGGAAAAGGUGUAGUUUCAUAACAGACUCAUCCACACCCAGGAAAACACAGAAUGAGAGAGUGCUGCAACCUUGGAGACUUUCUGCAUGAGCUCCAUCAUGUCCAUCAUGCUCUCUGGUUUGGAAGCUGCUGAAAUUUCUCCUUCCAUGGAAAUUAUUCAGCAGAAGUCCCAGCUACAGACCUUCAAUCAGAAAACUCCAGGAGCCACACAUGGACUUCUCCUGGGACUGGUCUGCAAGACCCAGCUGAUGUCUCACUGUUCAUCCAGAUGUACUUGGGGACCAAACAGCCCGAGGACCUUCCUGCAGCCACUGCACAAGCAGUCUGGAUCAACAAGAUGCCUGGAUAAUGCACAGGCCAUGGUGUCAUGUGUCUGUUUGCACGGAGCCAGAGCUGUGCAUGGUGCUGCGUGCUGAGGUUCUGCAGACUCAGAGAGUCAGAGAGAGACCUGGAUCCAUCACAUGAAGUUAAGGGGGAAAAUUGCCUCGGGAGGGAUCUAGUUUUGGGUUCAGGCAGAUCUUUCUGCAUAUUUUCCAAGGAGAUGAGAUUGCAAGCCAGAGCUAAGCCAGUCAGGAAUUCUGUCUGAAUUAUUUUCACAUUCUCUUUAAUGUUCUGUCCACGGGUGAUACCUAGUGCAAUGCAUGACACCUGACAUGGCCCUUUCCCCAUAUUUUCAAGUUAAUAAAUGUAGUAAAAAAUAAUAUACAGUGUUUAUUGCCAGGACUGUCAGGGAGGACACUGCAUUCCCCCUCUCCUCCAAACCCAGGGAGUGUAGGAGAGGCUGCUGUAAUUACAGGUCUCCUUGUGCAAGACUGCUUUGAAAUUCCCAAUAUUUCUCCAAACUACCAGCAAGUCGGUUUUCAGAGCUGCCUGACAGAGAAUUUAUUUAUUAAGGUCUUGGCUGUUUGCAGCAGUGGCUGGGCAGCAGCAGUUCCGCAGAGUUAUCAAAAAUCUAUUUCCUUGCAGAGUCACAAGUAAAAUAUCAAACCCCCUUUGAAAAGCCAAGUGCAACAUUUACAUUUUAAUCUCCCCAAACACUUUCGUUUCUGACAAACUGGGUUUUUUGGUCUGUGUGUUAUGGAGAGGAGAGGCAGUGGGGCUGGAGGAGGAAGGUUUAUAGCCCUGGGAGGAAGCGUGGGCUGCUUUGAAUGUGUGACACCGCUGGAGUGGCACGGUGACCUCCCCGAGCACGGGGACUGCAAGGACUGUCACCCUUCAGCACUGCUGGGGCCAGGUGAGAAAGAAAAGCAGCCUGGCCCCAAAAUCUAGCAGUGCAGGGCAUCAAACACAGAGCUGGGUUAGCAAUCACAUGUGCACGAGUAGAAAAGGAGGAGCACCAGCCCUGUGCUGGGCACAGCCUCUCCUGGCUACCAACAGCCCGCAUGGGGGGUCAGUGGCCACUUGCAGCCACUGAUCUAUAGGGGCAAAAGCCUUUAUUUGCCUGUCUGUUCACACCUCUGCCUGGGGUUAACUGGGCUGCAGUGGAGCAGCUGGCUGCACCCCAGCUCUACAGUUUGUGGUCUGGCAACAAAAGCCACUCUGCCUUUCCCUUGCUGUCAGCGGGGCUGAGGUCCUGCGCUGCCUCUGUGGAGUCGCUGCAGCAAGCCAUGAAUUAUGGAUGAAAUGAAAAAUCCCAGCCCGGUGCACAGAGGGAAUAUGCAAAGUGCAGAGCGAUCACCUUUGUGUGUGAGCCUUGCUUUGUGCCACCUUCACACACACGAGGCCCAAAACACUCCGCUCUGCUUUGGCUGCGACUCCCUCGGCCCACAGGGCCCAGGAUCCCCUCCUCCCGAGGGAUCUGGCUUCUGAAAUGAUGUUCAUUAAAUUGAAAAGCAUGUCCUUGUGCUUUGUGGGAUCUUCCUGGGAACUACUGAGGGUGCUGUGUGGAUGAGAUGUGUGGAGCUCACACGCAGAGGUGCCGGCACGGGCAGGACGGGUGUCUGGGACAGGCUGGCCCUGGGCAAAUCUGCCAUGGUGCCAUGGGCAACUCUGCACAUCCACUCCAGGAGAGCUCCUGAGCACAUGAACACACAUUUGCAGGUGAGGUGAUGCAGGAGUUCCCACCCAGGCACAGCCUUUCCACACACAGAGGAUCCCUCAGGGGAUCUGCAGAGGCGACAGUUCCCACCAGAGCUCCCUUUGCUUGAAGCAAAGCAUCGGAAAAGCUCUUGACAGGCUCUGACUUCAAGACUCUGUGAUUUGGGGAAGUCUCUCAACUCCUAACAUCUCCUUCAGAGAGAAGAUGACUUUCAGGAGGCAUUUUAAAAAUGUCUUUUAAUUUUUAAAUGCUUUAGCUCCUCCUUUGCCAAUCCAGCUCUCUGCUUUUGUGCACCAUCUAAUAAUGUGCUUCCACACAGCCAUUUCUGAGUGUGCAAUAUCAACAUCUGUGCUAAAAUCAAGCAGAAAUUUUUCCCCGAAGCAAAAUUUUGCUCUGUAUUAUUGUUACUUUCUUUUCCUAUUUAAUGGUUUGCUUGUCAUGGGGCCUCUUCAGCCUCUUAUUUUCAGGAAAUGAAGGUUCUCUGCCUCUCGCUCCUUGUCAAAGACACCCUGGCAGGCGAGAGCAGCGUCACCCUUGUCCCACCUCCUAAAAACAUUUUACUGAGUGCUCACUAAAACUGUGCUGCAGUAAAGCACUCCACUGAAAUGGGUGCCUGAUAUGCAGCAGGUUGGCAGAAUUAAUUUAUUGGUGUUAGUACAGCCUUUUGAACUUCUCCUGUUACG